UGGUAUAGGAAUAUUACCUUUAUUUGGAGUAUUCGCUAUAGUAGGUUUAGAAUGAGUAAUAGGUAUGAUUCAAGCUUAUGUAUUUAGUAUUUUAACUUCAUCAUAUAUUAAAGAUGCAGUAUACUUACAUUAAAUAUCCCCGCAAAGACGGAUUUCAUUCAAUUUCUGGGGUCAUAAUAUUAUUAUUUUUUAAUACUCUAAUUAAGUACCCUUUUAUUAAAAUAAAUCUAACCUAAAAUUUAAAUUUUACUUGAAUUUCUUUAUAAUUAAGUGGAAUAUAUAUAUAUAUAUAUAUAUAUUUAUAAAUAUAUAAGUAAUAUAAUAGAUUUGAAAAUUAAGAAAAAAAAGAUAAAAGAGAUUAUUAAAUGAUUGAAAAAACUACUAAUAGAAAAAUGGUUAAAAAAAGAUAAAUUAAGCAUUUAUAAAGAGACCAAAGGGAAACUGUAAAAAAAUAAACUGAGUGAACUGAAACAUCUAAGUAACUUAAGGAAAAGAAAUCAACAGAGAUUUUGUGAGUAUUGGUGAGAGAAAGCAAAAAAGUUUAAAUAAGUAUAUUGUGAAAAUAAUAGAAAAAGGAUAAACUAAUUCAAAAACUAAAUACUAUUAGUAAGUAAGAAUAAGUACCGAAAGGGAAUAUCAAUUUAUUAGUAAUUUUAUAAGCAAUUAAUGAUUAUGUAAAUAUAAUCAAUAAUGUACCUUUUGUAUAAUGGGUCAGCAAGUUAUUAUAAUUAGCAAAAUAUAUUAUCUCUACUAAAGAGGCUAAGCAAAUAUAUUAUAAUGAAGAUGAAAGUAAUUACAAAUAAUGGAAGUUAAUUAUAAUAAACCCGAAAGUAAAUGAUCUUACCAUAAACAGGUGUUAAAACGACCGAACAGGUUAAUGUUGCAAUAUUAUCUGAAGAUUUAUGGUAUGCAGUGAAAGACAAAUCUGAUUUACAAAUAGCUGGUUUUUUGCGAAAUAUAUAUAAGUAUAGCAUUUACAAAUUAUCUAGCCGGUAAAGCAAUUAAUAAUAAUUGGGGUACUAUCAAAGUAUUAUCAAUAUUAUUUAAUCUCAUAAUGGUUACGUAUAAUCCUAAAACUAUAAUGGUGGAGGGGAUAAUGUAAAUAGUCAGACUAUUGGUGAUAAGGUCGAUAGUCAAAAGGAAAACAGUCCAGAUUAAUAGAUAAGGUUCCAAAAUAUAUAUUAAGUGAAAAUGAUAUUUAAGUUUUAUUUUAUUUCAAUUUUAUUAAUGAGAAUAAAAUAUACCAAUGAGCGAACUAUGUUCAAUCAUCGGGGUUAAUAUACAAUUAGUAGAUAGGUUUGAUAGUAACUAUUCUUUAAUAAACGUGUAACAACGUACUAAUCUAUAACUUUUUAACCUUAAAUAGAUAAUAAUCGGAUCUAAAUAUAUUACCGAAUCUUUAAUUAUUAUUAGUAAAUAAUGAUAUUAAUAAUAAGGUAGCAAAACAUUUAAUAAUUACUAUAAUAUAUUAAUUAUAUUAUAUAUAUAUUAAAUAAUAUAUAGAUAUAUUAAAUAUUUAUAUAUUUAUAAAAAAAGAAUUAAAUAGAGAAUGCUGACAUGAGUAACGAAAAAGUGGUUUAAACCACUUCACUUUAUAUCUAAGGUUUUACUAUAAAAUCGGUCCAUAAGAGAUAAUUCUAAAGAGAAUAUUUCGAGAGGUAAUUAAUAUAUGUUAUAUAAAGACUAUUAGAUUAUAUUUAUAAUAACAAUAUUUAAGUUGGGUAUUAUAAAUAUAAUAUAUUAUAAUAGUACUGGAAAAAAGUAUAAUGUCUUGGAUCAGAGUUAGACUUUGAUUCAAGGUUAAUAAUACCGUAAUAAAACCGACACAGGUAGAAAAGUUAAAUAUGAAAGUGAAUGGGAUAAUUCUGGUUAAUGAACUCGGCAAAAAGAACUCUGACGUUCGUCAAUAAAGAGUUAUAAAAAAAGAAGAUUAUACGACUGUUUACUAAAAACACAGCACUUUGCAAAAACAAUAGUUGUAGUAUAAAGUGUGAAUUCUGCCCAAUGUUUAAUAAUAAAUAAAUUUAUUAUAAUGGUAAAUUUACUAAAGUUAAAUAAAUGGCGGCUUUAUCUUGAGAGUCAUAAUGUAGCGAAAUUCAUUGGCUACUAAAUAUAGUCCUGCAUGAAUGGAGUAACGAUAUAAUAACUGUAUCAACCAGAAGCCCAGUGAAAUUGAAUUCGCGGUGAAGAUGCCGUGUACCUGAAGUAAGACGAGAAGACCCUAUGCAGCUUUACUAUAAUUAAAUAGAUUGUAUUAAUUUUUUUAAAUUUUAGUCGCUUAUUUUAAGCUCAUAAAGUAAUUAAUAUUAAUAAUAGUGAAAUACUUUUAUUUAAUCUAAUUAAUACUUAAUUUUAUAUAAAAACUAUAGAUUUUUAUUUUUAUAAAAAUAUCCCCCCGGGGACGGACUAUGUUCGAUCCCCGGGGUAAUAAUUAUUGAUUAAUAUCUAAUUAUUAAUUAUAUUUAUCUCAAUUCAGGGUUAUACUCUGGUUUUAUAUAAAUAUAUAUAGAUAAAAUGACAAUCUUUAAUUGAUAGUUUGAAUGGGGUGUUGAUUUCAUAUAAAAUAACUGAAUAUGUCCAAUUACAUAUUAUAGAAUUAUUGAACCCUUGGGACGAACUUUGUUCGAUUUUUUGAGGGAUUAUAAAAUUAAUGAAUUAGUCAUUAAAAUUGUUAAAAAAGAAUCCUGAAAGGGAUAUUCUUUAUUUUAGAAUAAUUUAAGUACAGUACAUUUGGCUUGAAACCAAAUUAUAACAAAGGAGUUAUAAAAUAAAUUAGUA
rnacentral:rRNA from 1 species